GGCUCCGUGGCGCAAUGGAUAGCGCAUUGGACUUCUAGGGUUGAUCCGAAGGGAUUCAAAGGUUGUGGGUUCGAGUCCCACCGGAGUCG
rnacentral:tRNA from 1 species